rnacentral:rRNA from 1 species
UACGGGGGGAGCAAGCGUUGUUCGGAUUUACUGGGCGUAAAGGGCGCGUAGGCGGUCGUGACAAGUCACUUGUGAAAUCUCCGGGCUUAACUCGGAACGGUCAAGUGAUACUGUCGGACUAGAGUACAGAAGGGGCAACUGGAAUUCUCGGUGUAGCGGUGAAAUGCGUAGAUAUCGAGAGGAACACCAGUGGCGAAGGCGGCAUCCUGGACCGGCAUUGACGCUGAGGCGCGAAAGCUAGGGUAGCAAACGGG